GUGCCAGCCGCCGCGGUAAUACCGGCAGCUCAAGUGAUGGCCGAUCUUAUUGGGCCUAAAGCGUCCGUAGCUGGCUGCGCAAGUCCGUCGGGAAAUCCACUCGCUCAACGAGUGGGCGUCCGACGGAAACUGCACAGCUUGGGACCGGAAGACCGAAGGGGUACGUCCGGGGUAGGAGUGAAAUCCUGUAAUCCUGGACGGACCACCGGUGGCGAAAGCGCCUUCGGAAGACGGAUCCGACAGUGAGGGACGAAAGCUAGGGUCUCGAACCGGAUUAGAAACCCGAGUAGUCC
rnacentral:rRNA from 1 species